GUUGUAUGAAUGGAGUAGUUGAGGAAAGUCUAAAGCAAAUACCCGUGACCUCAUUUUCUCUUUCAACACUAUUUGAAAUACUAUUUCCAAAUGUUUAGGAGAAAUGGGGAUUUUAGUUUCUUCAGGUUUGUGGUCUUUCAGAGUUGGAAGGGGCCACUGAGCUGAUGCUUGGCCGCUGUGUGAACAUUUCUGCUUGAACAUGUGUUGUGCCGGGAAGCCUUCUUCUCAUUCUCACUGAGUGUGGCUCCCCAAAGUGCCCAUGCUGCAUUUAACAAAGCAGCCAGUUACUUUGGGAUGAAGAUUGUGCGGGUCCCAUUGACGAAGAUGAUGGAGGUGGAUGUGCGGGCAAUGAGAAGAGCCAUCUCCAGGAACACUGCCAUGCUCGUCUGUUCUACCCCACAGUUUCCUCAUGGUGUAAUAGAUCCUGUCCCUGAAGUGGCCAAGCUGGCUGUCAAAUACAAAAUACCCCUUCAUGUUGAUGCUUGUCUGGGAGGCUUCCUCAUCGUCUUUAUGGAGAAAGCAGGAUACCCACUGGAGCACCCAUUUGAUUUCCGGGUGAAAG
rnacentral:sRNA from 1 species